CUUACCUAUGUUGCCUUGGCAGGUCGUGGUGCGUAGCGUGAUCGCUAUAAGGGAUCACCGCCUCGCACCACGCUGAAAGACCUGUCAAAGGACCCCUAAACUCUGUCUUACAACUGUAUCUCUGAGUCUAUUAUAUAAACAAGUUAAAACUUUCAACAACGGAUCUCUUGGCUCUGGCAUCGAUGAAGAACGCAGCGAAAUGCGAUAAGUAAUGUGAAUUGCAGAAUUCAGUGAAUCAUCGAAUCUUUGAACGCACAUUGCGCCUGAUAGUAUUCUGUCAGGCAUGCCUGUUCGAGCGUCAUUUCAACCCCCAAGCCCUAAUCUGCUUGACGUUGGGAGUUUACGGAGACGUAAUUCCUCAAAUAUAGUGGCGGAGCUAGGUCGUGCUCUAAGCGUAGUAACCACACUCUCGCUUCUGCAGCCGGCCUAGGUCUUGCCGUAAAACCCCUAUAUUUAUUUUUUUACUGGUUGACCUCGGAUCAGGUAGGAAUACCCGCUG
rnacentral:rRNA from 1 species